GUUUCUGUAGUGUCGUGGUUAUCACAUUUGUCUAAUACACAAAAGGUCCCUGGAUCAAAACCAGGCAGAAACA